GUUAGUAAGUGGAUACAUAGUGUUUUUAGGGGACAGUCCUAUUGGUUGAAAAUCAAAGAAGCAGACAACAGUGUCAUUAUCAUCAGCAGAAGCAGAAUAUAGAGCAGUAAGGAAGGUGGUUGGAGAAUUAGUUUGGUUGGAAAGAUUAUUGGGUUAGUUAACUGAGUCCUGCAGUUUGCCUAUUUCAGUGUUUUGUGAUAGCCAGGUAGCAAUCCAUA
rnacentral:misc_RNA from 1 species